rnacentral:rRNA from 1 species
UACGUAGGGUGCAAGCGUUAAUCGGAAUUACUGGGCGUAAAGCGUGCGCAGGCGGUUAUAUAAGACAGAUGUGAAAUCCCCGGGCUCAACCUGGGAACUGCAUCCAAAACUGCUGAGCUAGAGUACGGCAGAGGGGGAUGGAAUUCCGCGUGUAGCAGUGAAAUGCGUAGAUAUGCGGAGGAACACCAAUGGCGAAGGCAAUCCCCUGGGCCUGUACUGACGCUCAUGCACGAAAGCGUGGGGAGCAAACAGG